ACCAGGCACGGUGGCUCAUGCCUGUAAUCCCAGCUACUCGGGAGGCUGAGACAGGAGGAUCACUUGAGCCCAGGAGUUUGAAGCCAGCCUAGGCAACAUAGUGAGACCCUGUCUCUU
rfam:Gorilla gorilla gorilla genomic chromosome, chr2B, whole genome shotgun sequence